AGAGUUUGAUCAUGGCUCAGGAUAAACGCUGGCGGCGUGCCUAACACAUGCAAGUCGAACGCUCUUGGGAGCAAUCCCAAGGGAGUGGCGGACGGGUGAGUAACACGUGGGUACCUGCCCUGUGGUGAGGAAUACCGGCGAGAAAUCGCCGACAAUACUGCAUACGUUUGUAAUGCAAACAAAGCUCGGGCAACCGGGCG
rnacentral:rRNA from 1 species